CCUACGGGAGGCAGCAGUAGGGAAUAUUGCUCAAUGGGGGAAACCCUGAAGCAGCAACGCCGCGUGGAGGAUGAAGGUUUUCGGAUUGUAAACUCCUUUUGUUAGAGAAGAUAAUGACGGUAUCUAACGAAUAAGCACCGGCUAACUCCGUGCCAGCAGCCGCGGUAAUACGGAGGGUGCAAGCGUUAUUCGGAAUCACUGGGCGUAAAGAGCGCGUAGGCGGGAUAGCAAGUCAGAUGUGAAAUCCUAGGGCUUGACCAUAGAACUGCAUUUGAAACUGUUAGUCUAGAGUAUGGGAGAGGUAGGUGGAAUUCUUGGUGUAGGGGUAAAAUCCGUAGAGAUCAAGAGGAAUACUCAUUGCGAAGGCGACCUGCUAGAACAUAACUGACGCUGAUGCGCGAAAGCGUGGGGAGCAAACAGGAUUAGAUACCCCGGUAGUC
rnacentral:rRNA from 1 species